rnacentral:rRNA from 1 species
AGCGAACGCUGGCGGCGUGCCUAACACAUCCAAGUCGAACGUGAAAGGGAGCAAUCCCAAGUAAAGUGGCGUACGGGUGAGUAACACGUAGGUAAUCUACCCCAGAAUCUGGAAUAACCGGCCGAAAGGCUGGCUAAUACUGGAUAGAGCGACGGAAUCCGUAAUUGGGUUUUUCGGGAAAGGGAGCCUGUAAAAAGGCCUUCGUUCUGGGAUGAGCCUGCGUCCCAUCAGCUAGUUGGUGAGGUAAAAGCUUACCAAGGCAAUGACGGGUAGCUGGUCUGAGAGGACGAUCAGCCACACUGGAACUGAAACACGGUCCAGACUCCUACGGGAGGCAGCAGUGGGGAAUCUUGCGCAAUGGACGAAAGUCUGACGCAGCAACGCCGCGUGAGUGAAGAAGGCCUUCGGGUUGUAAAGCUCUGUCGAGUGGGACGAAAAUGCUUGGAGUUCACAGCUCCAGGAACUGACGGUACCACUAAAGGAAGCACCGGCUAACUCCGUG